rnacentral:lncRNA from 10 species
UUCUCAGCUGAACACUGUCAUCUGCCAGAGCUUCAGGCAAGAACCCAGAACAGAUGAAACCCCAGACAUGACAAAAUAAGCCAAAGAAUACCAGGCCAAGGUGUGAAAGGCCAGAUGAGAACAAGCAGCGUACACGAUUCUGUUGCCAACAGAUCUCCCCUAACAGUGUCGUGCACCAAAUUUCCACAGUGAAUGUCAGGAAAAAAUGGCAAUUGAGAUGAAGAAACUGAGGCAGACAGAGGUGAAGAAACUUGCACAAGGUCAAAGAACAAUCUUUCAGAAAAUGGCAUUGCGUACUGAGGACAGUGAGAAAUAGGAGGUUAUGUUUCCUAUCAAAGCCCUCCAUGUAGAAAGGUGAGCUCUCAGAGAUGAUCUGAAUUAUCUUUGCUUCCACCGUUUCUGCCUAUUGCUACCUGAUCUGUCACAUCCAUGACUGAGAAAUAUUGUCAGCUGGAGAGGCUGAAGAAAUCUGAAAAAAGGCUGAAAGCUGGAACAACUGAUGGAAUUCUA